rnacentral:rRNA from 1 species
AAUGAACGCUGGCGGCAUGCCUAACACAUGCAAGUCGAACGAGACCUUCGGGUCUAGUGGCGCACGGGUGCGUAACGCGUGGGAAUCUACCCUCAGGUUCGGAAUAACUCAGAGAAAUUUGAGCUAAUACCGGAUGAUGACGUAAGUCCAAAGAUUUAUCGCCUGAGGAUGAGCCCGCGUAGGAUUAGGUAGUUGGUGAGGUAAAGGCUCACCAAGCCGACGAUCCUUAGCUGGUCUGAGAGGAUGAUCAGCCACACUGGGACUGAGACACGGCCCAGACUCCUACGGGAGGCAGCAGUGGGGAAUAUUGGACAAUGGGCGAAAGCCUGAUCCAGCAAUGCCGCGUGAGUGAUGAUGGCCUUAGGGUUGUAAAGCUCUUUUACCCGGGAUGAUAAUGACAGUACCGGGAGAAUAAGCUCCGGCUAACUCCGUG